CCGGAAUCAUUGGGUUUAAAGGGUCCGUAGGUGGACAAAUAAGUCAGAGGUGAAAUCCUGCAGCUCAACUGUAGAACUGCCUUUGAUACUGUUUGUCUUGAGUUAUUAUGAAGUGGUUAGAAUGUGUAGUGUAGCGGUGAAAUGCAUAGAUAUUACACAGAAUACCGAUUGCGAAGGCAGAUCACUAAUAAUUAACUGACACUGAGGGACGAAAGCGUGGGUAGCGAACAGGAUUAGAUACCCUGGUAGUCCACGCCGUAAACGAUGGUCACUAGCUGUUUGGACUUCGGUCUGAGUGGCUAAGCGAAAGUGAUAAGUGACCCACCUGGGGAGUACGUUCGCAAGAAUGAAACUCAAAUGAAUUGACGG
rnacentral:rRNA from 1 species